UCAAAAUAGACUAUUGGUAGGACUAAAACUUAAAGAGGGGUAAAAAUGGGUAUUUCCGAAACAGUGCCUUUUCACGAAGUAACUUUACGUACCGGGGUGUCAAACUUAAUAUAGAAGGAUCUUAAGAACCAGAAAUACAAAAUUGAACCUAUAGUGGCUAUGAGGAUUUUUGAUGUGGAUUGUAACAGAGAGCGCAAAGAAUAAGUUAGAAGUAUUUGAAAGAAGAAUGCUAUAUGGAGAAGGCGACACAAGAUGAAACUUAACCAUCUGUCCAAAAAAGCCCUUAUCUCAGAAUUUGCCAAGUUGCAAAUACUGGAAUGGACUGGUUAAGUCAAAUAACACGAAUGAGCAAAGAUAGAAUGCCAAAAGACUCUUAAGCAGCAAAAUGCAAGGCAAGAGCGUCAGAACCUGGAACAGAGUUAGACGUUUAGGAAGAGUCAGUGGAAACGAAAGCUAUGGAUUCGUUAUGUGGAUGAAAUUUUAGUGAUCUGGUAGCAUGGAAAAGAGCGUCUGCAGGUCCUAGAUAACCUGAACUCCCAACGCAUCAUAAUUAAAUUUAUCACGGGAGCUGCAACACAGUUACCUUCCGUGGAUGAUUUGGUCACUAGGAAGACAGAUGGGGCAUAGAACUAGGAGUGUAUUUCUGAAAAAUGUAUUCCUGAAGAACGGUUACACUCUAACGAGCCAGCAAACGACAUAAACGGAAGGAACAAAUGGGAGCUGUCAUACAGAAAGACAAACAUCUGUGUUUAACACGCCGGAGGCGCUCUCGAACGAUAAUGUGCCAUCUAUGUUGCAUUAAUCAAUGCUGCGACGACGUCAACCUGCAAACGAGCGCGACAGAGAAAUGCAACGGAACGGUAGCCUUGCAGACGCGGAAGAAACCUUCACACGGUAAUUCCAUUUAUUUCUGCGCUCCCCCAGAGCCCUCGAUUCCCCUCUCUAAACAAUUCCGGAACGCCCCGGAAGUCGAGAUUGCGAGUUUCCCCACGAGAUAACACGUUUCCACGCCUUGCAGUCGAAGAAAUGCCGAAAGGAAAAGGGAAUCGAUACUAGAAAUAAUUAAACCUUUAGUUUUAGAUAAGAAAAUUGUAGGUGUAGUCAAUAGUGUAGCUGUAAAGGAGUCCAGUUAUUGCUGAAAUUUCGUUGGUGUUGCAGAUUAAAUAUUUAAUCAUUUUCGUUUGCAGAAACACGAAAUUGUAGAUGCAGCCGUAUAUUUGAAGUAAAACCGCAUUACUAUUGCAUAACGUCCUAGUUUGUGCACAACUAGUAAAAGCGUUAAAAUAAACACCGGAUUAAGCUCGGGUAUUUUGCAGUGUAAUUCCGUUUUGGUGAGUAGAUCGACGUGUAUCGGCUUAAUAAGAGGCUUAAUUAUUUUUUGUCAUUCCUGAAAUAAGGAUU